GUACACGCUGUGACUAGCAUAUCAAUAAGCGGAGGAAAAGGAAACUAACAAGGAUUCCCCUAGUAACGGCGAGUGAAGCGGGAAGAGCUCAAAUUUGAAAUCUUAAAGGGUUUCCCUUUACGAAUUGUAGUUUAAAGAAGUGUUUUCUGUUGAGGUUUUGGUAAAAGUUCUUUGGAAUAGGACAUCAUAGAGGGUGAGAAUCCCGUAUUUGACCUUUACUUUCAACUUUGUGAUACACAUUCAAAGAGUCGGAUUGUUUGGGAAUGCAGUCCAAAAUGGGUGGUAAAUUUCAUCUAAAGCUAAAUAUUGGCGAGAGACCGAUAGCGAACAAGUACCGUGAGGGAAAGAUGAAAAGAACUUUGAAAAGAGAGUUAAACAGUACGUGAAAUUGUCAAAAGGGAAGCGUUUGACACCAGUGUUGUUUUUCUGAAAAUCAAUUAAAGAACUGUUUAUGCUAAGUUGUUUAGACUUUAUCAGCUAACUGUUUAGUUUUGAGCUUUUCUUUAAUGCACUUUUCAGUUAACAAGUCAACAUCAAUUUCUUUUGCUGUAAAAAAGCUUGAGGAAGGUGGCUUGAGAUUCGUCUUAAGUGUUUAUAGCCUCUUGCCUAUGCAGUCGGAGAGAUUGAGGUCUGCAGCGUAGAUCCUUCGGGGCUAAAUGCAUUUGUGCUAAGUUAUAGCAUUUUAUAGACAACUUGUUGACUAUGAUUCGUCUUGUAGCUUACUCGCUUAUGUUAUUUUACCUACGCUUAGGAUGUUGAGUCGUAGAGCACGCAG
rnacentral:rRNA from 1 species